rnacentral:rRNA from 1 species
UACGGAGGGUGCGAGCGUUGUCCGGAAUCACUGGGCGAAAGGGCGUGUAGGCGGAUAGAUAAGUCGGGCGUGAAAUCCCCAGGCUCAACCUGGGAACUGCACUCGAAACUGUUUAUCUUGAGUGCCGGAGAGGAAAGCGGAAUUCCUGGUGUAGAGGUGAAAUUCGUAGAUAUCAGGAGGAACACCAGUGGCGAAGGCGGCUCACUGGCCCGAGUACUGACGCUGAGGCACGGAAA